rnacentral:rRNA from 1 species
GUCCACGCCGUAAACUAUGGAUGCUAGCUGUAAGCCGUAUCGACCCGGCUUGUAGCGAAGCUAACGCGUUAAGCAUCCCGCCUGUGGAGUACGGUCGCAAGACUAAAACAUAAAGGAAUUGACGGGGACCCGCACAAGCGGUGGAGCGUGUUGUUUAAUUCGAUGGUAAGCGAAGAACCUUACCCAGGCUUGACAUCCUGAGAAGGUCUCCGAAAGGAGACUGUGCCUUGGGAAUUCAGUGACAGGUGAUGCAUGGCCGUCGU